UACAGAGGGUGCGAGCGUUGUCCGGAAUCACUGGGCGUAAAGGGCGCGUAGGCGGCUUUUCAAGCGUGCGGUGAAAGCUCGGGGCUUAACUCCGAGUCUGCCGUGCGAACUGGGAGGCUUGAGUCUGGUAGAGGUCGAUGGAAUUCCCAGUGUAGCGGUGAAAUGCGUAGAUAUUGGGAGGAACACCAGUGGCGAAGGCGGCUUACUGGACCGGAACUGACGCUGAGGCGCGAAAGCGUGGGGAGCAAACAGG
rnacentral:rRNA from 1 species